rnacentral:rRNA from 1 species
ACGUGUUACAAUGGCGUGGACAAAGGGAAGCCACCUGGCGACAGGGAGCGAAUCCCCAAACCACGUCUCAGUUCGGAUCGGAGUCUGCAACCCGACUCCGUGAAGCUGGAUUCGCUAGUAAUCGCGCAUCAGCCAUGGCGCGGUGAAUACGUUCCCGGGCCUUGUACACACCGCCCGUCAAGCCAUGGGAGCCGGGGGUACCUGAAGUCCGUAACCGAAAGGAUCGGCCUAGGGUAAAACUGGUGACUGGGGCUAAGUCGUAACAAGGUAAC